UACGAAGGGGGCUAGCGUUGUUCGGAUUUACUGGGCGUAAAGCGCACGUAGGCGGAUCGUUAAGUCAGGGGUGAAAUCCUGGAGCUCAACUCCAGAACUGCCUUUGAUACUGGCGAUCUUGAGUCCGGAAGAGGUGAGUGGAACUCCUAGUGUAGAGGUGGAAUUCGUAGAUAUUAGGAAGAACACCAGUGGCGAAGGCGGCUCACUGGUCCGGUACUGACGCUGAGGUGCGAAAGCGUGGGGAGCGAACAGG
rnacentral:rRNA from 1 species